rnacentral:rRNA from 1 species
GCCUACGGGGCGCAGCAGUGGGGAAUAUUGCACAAUGGGGGAAACCCUGAUGCAGCAACGCCGCGUGAGUGAGGAAGUAUUUCGGUAUGUAAAGCUCUAUCAGCAGGGAAUAGAAAAGAAGGUACCUGAAAAAGAAGCCCCGGCUAACUACGUGCCAGCAGCCGCGGUAAUACGUAGGGGGCAAGCGUUAUCCGGAUUUACUGGGUGUAAAGGGAGCGUAGACGGCUGGUCAAGUCUGAAGUGAAAGCCCGGGGCUUAACCCCGGAACGGCUUUGGAAACUGAGCAGCUAGAGUGCUGGAGAGGU